GACGAACGCUGGCGGCGUGCCUAAUACAUGCAAGUCGAACGCAGUGGGGACGGGUGAGUAACACGUGGGUAACCUCCCAUCAGAGGGGAGAACACUUGGAAACAGGUGCUAAAUCGAUAAUGAUGGAUGGACCCGCGGUGCCUUAGCUAGUUGGUGAGGUAACGGCUCACCAAGGCCACGAUGCAUAGCCGACCUGAGAGGAUGAUCGGCCACACUGGGACUGAGACACGGCCCAGCCUCCUACGGGAGGCAGCAGUAGGGAAUCUUCGGCAAUGGACGAAAGUCUGACCGAGCAACGCAGCGUGAGUGAAGAAGGUUUGCGGAUCGUAAACCUCUUUUGUUAGAGAAGCGGUAUCUAACCAGAAAGCCACGGCUAACUCCGUGCCAGCAGCCGCGGUAAUUC
rnacentral:rRNA from 1 species